rnacentral:lncRNA from 1 species
AACCACUGCUGCAGAGAAAAACGAUGCCUGCGGAUGCUGUAGUUGCUGCUGAUGGGAGUGGUGAUUUUACUAGGGUGAUGGAUGCUGUGAAUGCAGCUCCUGAGUAUAGCAUGAGACACUUUGUGAUACACAUAAAGAAGGGUUUGUACACUGAGAAAGUUGAGAUUAAAAAGAACAAGUGGAACCUUGUGAUGAUUGGAGAGGGUAUGGAUGCUACUGUUAUCUCCGGUAACCUCAGCCGUACUGAAAAUUUAACCACAUUCAGAACAGCUACCUUUGGUAAGGAAACUUCAUGAUAAUACUAACAACUAAAAAGUAAUUUGUCUGCUUCACUUGCUGAAAUUUCGGGUUUGAUUCUAAUUCUUUUACCUUCUUUUAUGGUGAAGCUGUGAAUGGGAGAGGAUUCAUAGCAACAGCCAUUUCCUUCAAGAACACUGCAGGACCCGAA